UGGGGAAUUUUGGACAAUGGGCGAAAGCCUGAUCCAGCCAUGCCGCGUGAGUGAAGAAGGCCUUCGGGUUGUAAAGCUCUUUUAGUCGGAAAGAAAGAGUUGCAAUGAAUAAUUGUGAUUUAUGACGGUACCGACAGAAAAAGCACCGGCUAACUACGUGCCAGCAGCCGCGGUAAUACGUAGGGUGCGAGCGUUAAUCGGAAUUACUGGGCGUAGAGGGUGCGCAGGCGGUCUUGCAAGUCAGAUGUGAAAGCCCCGGGCUUAACCUGGGAAUUGCGUUUGAAGCUACAAGGCUAGAGUGCAGCAGAGGGGAGUGGAAUUCCAUGUGUAGCAGUGAAAUGCGUAGAGAUGUGGAAGAACACCGAUGGCGAAGGCAGCUCCCUGGGUUGACACUGACGCUCAUGCACGAAAGCGUGGGGAGCAAACA
rnacentral:rRNA from 1 species